rnacentral:rRNA from 1 species
UACAGAGGUCUCAAGCGUUGUUCGGAUUCAUUGGGCGUAAAGGGUGCGUAGGUGGCAUGGUAAGUCGGAUGUGAAAUCCCGGGGCUCAACCCCGGAACUGCAUUCGAUACUGCUGCGCUAGAGUACUGGAGAGGAGAUUGGAAUUUACGGUGUAGCAGUGAAAUGCGUAGAUAUCGUAAGGAAGACCAGUGGCGAAGGCGGAUCGUCUGGACAGUUACUGACACUGAGGCACGAAGGCCAGGGGAGCAAACCGGG